AGCGGAGUAGAGCAGUUUGGUAGCUCACGAGGCUCAUAACCUUGAGGUCACGGGUUCGAUUCC
rnacentral:tRNA from 1 species